GGCGAGAUGGCCGAGCGGUUAAGGCGCCAGACUAAGGAAGUCCGAUUUCACUAUGAACAUCGGAAUUGUGGACCAAGGCAGUUACUGUCUUCUCAUAAAAUCUGGUCCGAAAGGGCGCGGGUUCGAAUCCCGUUCUCGUCA